GGAGCUGGUAGCUCAGUGGUAGAGUGCAUGCUCUGUAUGUAUGAUGUCCUGGGUUCAAACAUCAGCUGCACCC